rnacentral:rRNA from 1 species
GACGAACCGAGCGAACGUUGUUCGGAAUCACUGGGUUUAAAGGGUGCGUAGGUGGUCCGUUAAGUCAGUUGUGAAAUCCCCGGGCUCAACCCGGGAACUGCUUCUGAUACUGGCGGACUUGAGGCCUGUAGGGGUUACUAGAACAGACGGUGGAGCGGUGAAAUGCGUAGAUAUCGUCUGGAAUGCCUGUGGUGAAGACGGGUAACUGGGCAGGUUCUGACACUGAGGCACGAAAGCGUGGGGAGCGAACGGG